CAGUCGCCGCGGUAAUACGUAGGUGGCAAGCGUUGUCCGGAAUUAUUGGGCGUAAAGGGCUCGCAGGCGGUUUCUUAAGUCUGAUGUGAAAGCCCCCGGCUCAACCGGGGAGGGUCAUUGGAAACUGGGAAACUUGAGUGCAGAAGAGGAGAGUGGAAUUCCACGCGUAGCGGUGAAAUGCGUAGAGAUGUGGAGGAACACCAGUGGCGAAGGCGACUCUCUGGUCUGUAACUGACGCUGAGGAGCGAAAGCGUGGGGAGCGAACAGGAUUAGAUACCCCGGUAGUCCCUGUCUCUUAUAC
rnacentral:rRNA from 1 species